rnacentral:rRNA from 1 species
CAAAGUCAUGGUUAAGUGGGAAACGAUGUGGGAAGGCCCAGACAGCCAGGAUGUUGGCUUAGAAGCAGCCAUCAUUUAAAGAAAGCGUAAUAGCUCACUGGUCGAGUCGGCCUGCGCGGAAGAUGUAACGGGGCUAAACCAUGCACCGAAGCUGCGGCAGCGACGCUUAUGCGUUGUUGGGUAGGGGAGCGUUCUGUAAGCCUGUGAAGGUGUACUGUGAGGUACGCUGGAGGUAUCAGAAGUGCGAAUGCUGACAUAAGUAACGAUAAAGCGGGUGAAAAGCCCGCUCGCCGGAAGACCAAGGGUUCCUGUCCAACGUUAAUCGGGGCAGGGUGAGUCGACCCCUAAGGCGAGGCCGAAAGGCGUAGUCGAUGGGAAACAGGUUAAUAUUCCUGUACUUGGUGUUACUGCGAAGGGGGGACGGAGAAGGCUAUGUUGGCCGGGCGACGGUUGUCCCGGUUUAAGCGUGUAGGCUGGUUUUCCAGGCAAAUCCGGAAAAUCAAGGCUGAGGCGUGAUGACGAGGCACUACGGUGCUGAAGCAACAAAUGCCCUGCUUCCAGGAAAAGCCUCUAAGCAUCAGGUAACAUCAAAUCGUACCCCAAACCGACACAGGUGGUCAGGUAGAGAAUACCAAGGCGCU